rnacentral:tRNA from 1 species
UCCCCAGUGGCUCAGAUGGUAAAGCAUCUGCCUACAAUGUGGGAGACCCACGUUCAAUCCGUGGGUUGGGAA